GACGAACGCUGGCGGCGUGCUUAACACAUGCAAGUCGAACGGAAAGGCCCUGCUUUUGUGGGGUGCUCGAGUGGCGAACGGGUGAGUCACACGUGAGUAACCUGCCCUUGACUUUGGUAUCAUUUCAGGACACUGGGUCUUAUACCGGAUAGGCGCUCCUGCUGCAUGGUGGGGGUUGGAGAGUUUCGGCGGUUGGGGUUGGACUCGCGGCUUCUCAGCUUGUUGGUGGGGUAGUGGCUUACCAAGGCUUUGACGGGUAGCCGGCCUGAGAGGGUGACCGGCCACAUUGGAACUGAGAUACGGCCCAGACUCCUACGGGAGGCAGCAGUGGGGAAUAUUGCACAAUGGGCGGAAGCCUGAUGCAGCAACGCCGCGUGCGGGAUGACGGCCUUCGGGUGGUAAACCGCUUUCGCCUGUGACGAAGCGUGAGUGACGGUAAUGGGUAAAGAAGCACCGGCUAACUACGUG
rnacentral:rRNA from 1 species